GUGCCCACGUGGAUGCAAACACACCGCUUCAUCAAUUUGCAAAGCAAAUGAUGAAGCUCCUGCAUAGUAGGAAGAUGAAAGAGGCCAAAGAGGCACUAGGAUGCAUGGGUCAAAAGGAUACAACUACAUUGUAUAUGUUUGAAAUAAGAGUUGCAAGGGCAUACACUAGAGCUGUGAUGACAAGGUUUCAGGAGACAGUAAAAUAUGCAACUGCAUACCGAAUAGACCGUGAUACAGAGGGUGAGGAACAUGAUUGGGUGGUGAAACAAACUACAA